rnacentral:rRNA from 1 species
CCUACGGGUGGCAGCAGUGGGGAAUAUUGCACAAUGGGGGAAACCCUGAUGCAGCGACGCCGCGUGAGUGAAGAAGUACUUCGUUAUGUAAAGCUCUAUUAGUAGGGAAGAAAAUGACGGUACCUGAGUAAGAAGCUCUGUCUAAUACCGUGACAGAAGCAGAGGUAAUACGGAGGAGGCGAGCGUUAUCCGGAUUUACUGGGUGUAAAGGGAGCGUAGACGGGAGUGCAAGUCUGUAGUGAAAGGUUGAGGCUCAACCGCAGGAGUGCCCUUGAAACUGUAAGGCUGGAGUGCAGGAGAGGUAAGUGGAAUUCGUGGUGUAGCGGUGAAAUGCGUAGAUAUUACGAAGAACUCCGAUUGCGAAGGCAGCUUACUGGACUGUAACUGACAUUGAUGCUCGAAAGCGUGGGGAGCAAACAGGAUUAGAUACCCUUGUAGUC